rnacentral:rRNA from 1 species
UACGUAGGGUGCAAGCGUUGUCCGGAAUUAUUGGGCGUAAAGAGCUCGUAGGUGGUUUGUCGCGUUGUUCGUGAAAACUCACAGCUUAACUGUGGGCGUGCGGGCGAUACGGGCAGACUGGAGUACUGCAGGGGAGACUGGAAUUCCUGGUGUAGCGGUGAAAUGCGCAGAUAUCAGGAGGAACACCGGUGGCGAAGGCGGGUCUCUGGGCCGAUACUGACGCUGAGGAGCGAAAGCAUGGGUAGCGAACAGG